ensembl:lncRNA
AAAGCUUUGAGUGCUUUGGAGGAAUUAGGGAAUCCGGGAGGGGUGCACUCAGGGUACAGUUGGCUUUCUGUGCUGUGAGGGCACAGUGCUGGCUCAUCCCCAGCUGCCACCCACCAGCACCCCCAGGUCCUUUAUGGCAGGGCUGUGCUCCAUCCUUACACCCCCAGCUUGUACUGACACUGCGGGCUGCCACGACCCUUGCACUUGGCUUUGUUGAACCUCACGAGGUUCUCCUCACUGCUUUGCCUGUCUGUGUCUCUCUGGAUGGCAUCCAGAAUUUGCCAUGGCUGCUGCAGCCCUGCUGGACGAAGGGCUGAUGUGGGUCUGACAACCGGCAGCCACCGAUGGGCUGUGGCUGGCAAUGAGGGGCAUCAACUGCAACCUGAUGGCACUGAGGAGCCCUGGAGCUGCUGGGAGUUGUGCCACGCUCCCAGACCCCCCAGCCCUAUGUGCAGAGGAAGGCAAUGGGAGCUGAGGUGGGACCUGGCAGCUGCCACGUGAAGUGUACUGAAGCUGUGGGGUGGAGAAAUGGAAGGCGUGGGGUUGGAUCCUGCAUCUCCAGCCAACCGUGUUGCCUGGCAAGCAGCACAGAAAGUGAAUAACACUUAAACCCGUGCAGGCCUGGGGUGACAGCAGUGCUCCAACAUCUCCUCCACCCAUUUUUCAAGACAAACUUUCCUCCGUGAUCCACACGCAGCUUUAUUGAGCUCUAUUUCCUCCAGUCUAACUACAGAAAGAAAUUGGCAGCAAGCGCUCUCGCGGGCAGCGUGGAACGGCAGCGGCGGCUGUCAGGGCUCCGGGGGCUUUAUUGCCCUGCCAAACACCUACAUCAUGGUGACACUUACAUAAUUACAUAUCGGACCGGCGAGGAUGAAGCGCCCGGCACCUCCUAAACGUGUCAACAUGAUUUGAGAGGUUUGGGUUUGGCUGGACUUCGUAGGCAUUAGAUUUCAGACUCCAAUCACACGGGCAUCCGGAGGAUCAAUAGCUGAGCACUGCGUGGCAGCUGGCUGCAAGAUGAUGACAUCCAGCCCUGACUUUGCCGUCGUAGGUCUCCUCCUUGCUGCCUCCAAAGGACCGUGGUCCCUUUUUCCAUUAGGAAAGCAGCGUGUGCACACAGGUGACCUAUCUCUGCCCUGGCCACAUCUCACCCAGCUCCUUCAAAUUAAUUUCCCUGAUGGAGAAGCUCAGCAUCACACUGUCGUGCCUUCCAAUUCACACUCAGAUCAGCGCAGUGCUGGACCCACUUUGCAGCGAGCUUUGCAGCACCCGCCUGCAUUACCCAGCGCAACUUAAGGGGAAAACACCUGCAAACAAAUUGAACGUUCCUAAGUGCAAAUUGGUUUUGCAAUUGCUCGAGAUUUAAAGUGCCACUGCAGCAAAAUGAUGUUAUUUUUGGGGGGGGCAGACGUCUUUGGAAUACAGGUUGGUUGGAUUUGUCCUGUUGGAAGGGUUGGGUUCAGCCCAGCUCUUGGUGGGUUGGGUCCAUUGGGAUGCGCUGGGCUGCGGCACAUGGGCUGACCCCAGAACUGUCCCCAGUGGAGAUAAUCUGAUGGGUAGCGACGCUGCAGCGCUGUGCGAGGCUCUGUGCAGAGUUCAGCACUGCUCCAAACUUCCCCUUCUCCUCUGCGUGCUCUCUGCAGUCUUCAUUUCCACUAAAUCACCUCAAUUGGUUUCGCUCAGCGGUUGGAAAGCCAUGCUUGGAAUAUAAUGGUUGAUCUUUUAUGACAUUUACCGCCACUCAUGUCAGCGCGCGCGCCUGGUUAAUUCACUUGUUGCUAUGCCAUCCAUCAAUCACCAUAAAUGUUAUAACAGCAAUCUGUCACCGGGGGGGCACGCGUGGGGAGGUGUGCGAGGCGCAUUGGAUGGGGCUUGGGAAAUGAGUGACCCCUCCAUGUACUGGGGGGGAGUUGCCUGGAUCUGAGCAGUGCUGUGUGCUGUCUGUCCCAGUGCUGGGGCACGGGGUUUGUGCAGCAGCACGGUGCUCUCGCAGAUCGUUCUGCUGCUUGUCCCCUCACCCAGCAAGCUGCCCCCCUUCUUUUGGGGCGAGAGAGGCUUUGCGUGAGAUUUCAGACAGUGAAAACGUGGCUUAGUGGCAGUUUGCAUUCCCAACAGCCGGUGUAACAGCAGCCAUCAACAGCUAUGAGCCCGGCAGCAAAGCAGAUGAAGACAAAGUAGCCUCAGGUCUCACUUGUUGCCCUUUGCAAGUAAUUAUAUUAAUACACCUGUGAGCUCAUGUAAUAACAGAGAUGAGAUCUCCGCGACGCCCUGUUUGGGUGAAGGCAGGCUUGCGGGAGGUGUCUGAGAUUGCUUUCCCUGUGAAGAAACAGCAUUUUGAUUGAUCUCUCGGCAAAGAUAUGAAAACGCUCCGACUCGGUGCCACAUUUCCUUUUCGCUGUGACAUUUUGCAGGAGGGAACGAAUGGCACGCAGCCGUUCCCACGGUCCGGGUGACAUUACCAACAGCUCAGCAUCUCCUGCAGCACCAGCCGUGCUGGAGGGCUGACCCCCAAUGGAUGCUGGUGCUGAGCUAUGUGGGGCAGGGAUGGUCCUGGCUGUGGGUGAUGGCAGGUGAGCUGCUGGAGAUGGGUCAAGGCAUGCGUCAGAGCACAGCAUGGCAGUACCCCCCUGCAUCUGCUCCUCGUGACUUCAACACGGAAAGUGUUUUAGAUGCUCCUUUCCCUCCCUGCGUGGAGUUGAUGGCAACUCUAGUUAAAAGCUGAGAUGCUCAUGAAACACUUAUCGCCCCAAAGCUGUGUCUGCACUGCUCUCUGUUGCAGGUGAGGGGAUGGGAUCUCUUUGGGUCCUGUACUUUGGGAACCAGCAGGCAUUCUCCUUCCUCCACCAACCCCUGUGUGUGUGACUUAUUGGCCUCAAUGGAUCCCAGUUUCCACGUCUGUAAAAUGGCGUGACAUUUUCCUCCCAUGCGCUGAGGCUUUGCUUGCUCCUCUGGCCCCGCUUGGCUUUUAUUCUCCUCCCUGUAGAAGUGCUCAAAGGUGCUGGCCCACAUCAGGAGCUAAUGGGCAGCAUGCUCAGUGAGCAGGAACAGGGCUCUUCCUAUUAAACCACGAGCACGCAGGCAGCUCUCCAUUCCCCCGUUCCUCCCCCAUAAUCCCUCCUCCUCGCUUCCCUCUCCACCAUCCCCGGCAAUGCUCAGCUCCAAACACCGUUGCAGCUGUGAGCAAAAGAAGCAGCAGUGCUGGGAACAGACCCUGCGAGAGCUCAGCCCCAUGUUCCCGCUCUGCACCCCAACACUGCCCUUGCAAGCCGGGCAGCUGGGAGCUGAGCAUUGCCCUGGGAGGUGCUGGUUGGGCCCUACGUGCAGACGUGCAGCUUUGGGGCAGGACCAGGUGCUUUGUGCACUGCGGGUGUUCAAAGCAAAUCUGCAGCGCUCACAUCUGAGCAAUGGUCACCCGGUGAGAGAGAGGUGGUGGUGGUGGGCUCCAAUCUGGGGGCUCCAGUUCGGAGCUGGUUGCUGAAAGCCUUGAGCGUGAGGAUUUGUAGCAGAAAGGCUGCUGGAGCAGGAGCCUAGAGCAGGGUGAAUGGAGCUGCUCUAAUGGAUAUUAAGUGAUUUGCGAGCCCGCUGCUUGCAAACACAGCUGUAAAUAGAACAAAGGGAGGGGGUAGCAGAUGAAAGAGGCUCAGGCUCUUUAGCGGAGCAGUGUGAAAAAUGGGGAAAGGUUCCUGUGCAGGGCUCGGGCAGCGAGAGAAACAAAAGCCCCGGCAUCUAUUUUCAUAUCUUUUAUGUCUUCCUUGCACUUAAUCUUGUUUAGCUCUGCAAUUAAAUUUUAAGACGCAUAAGAGUGUUCGCUUACACACUUGGAUUCUUCGCAGAUUGAAUUAUUUAAUAGAGUGUGGAGCGGCUCCAUGAUCUCGGAGCUAUGGCACCAAAGGCAGCCAAGCAGAAAAUUAAUAAACACUGCCUGCCGUCUCCGCGCCUCCCGCGCUCCCCUCUGCAUCCUCCCUCUCCCUCUCCUGCUGCAGCCACCCCUCUGCUCCCAUCCCUUUCUGUUGGGGUUUCCUCUUUCCAUCCCACUGCCGUCUCCUCCCUCAGUUUUGCCACCUGCCCUUUCGCUGCUGUGGGAUCGAUGCUCUGUGCAUCUCAUCCUUGCAGCUCAAUGCCUGUGCACGUGUUCACUGUGAUUCGGGUCAUGCUGGGGAACACCCCAUGCCAGCAGUGGGGUUGGGUGGGAUCGGGCUGUGCCACUCUGUAAUUGCAUUCCUUGGCCCAGAAUAAAUCUCAUCUCAAAUGCUGCUGGAAUUCUCUCUCUCCUCCUUCAUUCUCCAGCCACCAAAGUUGAUCUUCUCUCCCCUCCUUUUUUUUUUCUUUUUUUUUUUUCCAGUAACCUUUCCAGGCAACAAAUUGCAGGGGGCAAUUACGCUGUUUGCUAAAGAGAGCAUUAAGCCAGCCACAAUUUCCAUAGAGGAUAUUGUGCAGCAAACUGAUACAAAAGCAGUCUAUGAAAUACAUCAAAUUGCCUGUUGGAUAAAGGCAUGCAUUUACAAUGCACUCGGAGCCCUUAUGAAUUAUCUGAAGAGAAAUCCGUUUGUUAUUUUUCUUGCUCUUAAGAAUCCCCAUUUUAAGUGGAACCAAAUAAAAAGGCAGGAAAAUUACCACUAGAGGAAAAGACUGGCCACUCCUUUGUGGGAGGUGAUGGUGGCUUCCCUCUGUUGAUUAUUGAAGGCAAUGUGUUUUGAGUUUGAUGGUUUUCAGUGCAAGUCUCCAUUGGUAUCUUUGUAGAAUCAUAGAAUGUUUGGGUUGGAAGGGUCCUUAAAGAUCAUAUUUCCAUGGAGUGGUUGGGUUGGAAGGGACCUUAAAGAUCACAGAACCAUGGGAUGGUUGGGUUGGAAGGGACCUUAAAGAUCAUAGAACCAUGGGAUGGUUGGGUUGGAAGGGACCUUAAAGCCCUGCCUCUGCUGUAAAAUGGGUGCCCCCCCUCCCAGCUUGGCCUUGGGCACCUCCAGGGAUGGGACACCCAUAGCUUCUCUGGGUAAUCUGUUCCACAGAGCCUCCUCUCCUGGUUGCUGCCCUUCAUGCUGAGUGGGAUGGCUGCUGAUAUAGCGCCUAUGGGGCAAACCAAAGCUCUGGCUGAUAAAACUAUGGUUUUCUAUUUUUUCUGAAGCUGGACCCCACUCCACCCCAAAUCCUUUAGCAGCAGGGAGUGCCUGGAGCUGUGGGGUUGGGCAGUGAUUCUCGCCUGGCUCCGCUGCAGGAUGGAAAUAGUACUCGUGGAAUUGAAAUUCUGGAGGGAAUGACAGGGACACAGCAGAGAAGCAGCUAAAACACCUCUCUAAUUGCUAAUCAAUACCUUAAAGAAAUGUUGCCCUAGCUGAAAUCUGCUCCCAGGGAAAAAAAAAAUAAAAAUCUACACGAUUUGUUCCAUGAUUGGAAUGAGAUUUUAUUGGUCUGGUUUCUGCUGUUUUGGGGGCAUUUUUCUUCUUGUUUUUUUGUUGUUUGUUUUUCUUGUCCCUCCACCCCAUUACGCUCAGGUUUUAUGAAGUCAUCACCCAUUCCUCAGCUCAAAACCUCCGUGAGAAACUCUUGGCUCCGCAGACAGACCAACACUAAUCUUCUGUGUAAUUGAAUCAUCAUUGUGGAUAUUCUUUGGCUGCUUCGAAACAGUUCUGUUUCUCGAGUAAUGCUUUUAUUAGCUUUUGGUGCUGUUGUGUUGCUUUUUUUUUUUUUUUUUCCUUUUCUGUAGUAAUAUUAUUUUCUUGCUUUCAGAUGCUGUCUACAGCGUGGCUCUUUAUUGAUGUGUUACGAGGAUUUCUGUCUUACUUUUAAAAAGAAAACAAAAAAUCCAGCACAGGCAUAUAGAGCAGAGGUUGCUGUCUCUCCAAGGAUGAACAAUUAAGGAACAUGACCAAGGGGAAUUUUCCUGGGCUUGGCUGUUCUCAAUCUCCUCAACCACACAUUUGCAGUUCAGUGGGUCGAUGACCAUUCCUUGGGCUUCUCUCCAUCCCUCCGUGCUGGGAAGGAGAACACAUGGCUGCUCCCUUGUGCAAGGCCUUUGACAUGGUCUGACACCUCACGCUAAGUUGGAGAGAUGGAUUUGAAGGCUGGACUGUUGGUUGGAGGAGGACUUGGUUGGGUGGUCAUAAUCAGUCGUUAUCAAUGGCUCUAUGUGUGGGUGGAGGUUGGUGAGGAGUGGUGUCCCCCAGAGGUCUAUCCUGGGACUCGUGCUCUGCAGUGACAUAGACAGUGGAACCAAGUCCACCCACAGCAACUUUACUGAUGACAUCAAGCUGAGGGGUGCAGUUGAUACAACAGAAAGAAGGGACGCCAUCCAGAGGGACCUGGACAGGUUUGAGAAGUGGGCCCAAAAGAGCCAAAUGAGGUUCAGCAAGGCCAAGGUGUUCCACCUGGGUUGGGGCAAUCCUGGAUGUCUUCAGGUGCUAGGAAAAAAAAAAAUUCUUUACUCAGAGGGGUUGAGGUGCUGGCACUGCUGCCCAGAGCUGUGGGUUCCCCAUCCCUGGAGGUGCCAAAGGGCGUCCCUGGUCUGAUCUUGUGAGGGGCAUCCAGCGGGGGUUUGAGACUCAAUGGUUGUAGAGGUCCCUUCCAACCUAAACCAUUCCACGAUUCUAUGAUUCCCAUCCCUGUGGCUCCCAUUAACCUCUCCUAAAACACAGCUGCAACCCAAAGCAGGGCUUGUCCAGGACUGGGUGAUUCCAACACCAGUUCUCCUGCUUUGGGGACUGCUUCUGCAUAAGAAGAGAGCCCAGAUCCACAUGUUGUGCUGGGACACACAGACGGUUUGUGAUGGCUUGGAGAGAAGAGUGAGGAAGGAGCAGGGGGGGCUCGGGCUGAGCUGGGGCCCCAGGAGGGAUUUGUGGGAUCCUGCAAUUGCCUGAAUUCAUUUCAAUUAUUGGCGGCGCUUCUCUACAGCACUAAAUAAAGUAAAAUAAAUACAGAAAGCAGAAGGCAAUAUAAAGCAGUUAGAGAGGAUCAGUGGUGAACUGAAUAAUUCAUUCAGGAGAGAAAAAGAGCUAUUUGCUAUGUCAUUCUUAUCUUGAUUGUAUUUAUAGACAGGAACUUUUGACAAGGAAAUUACCUGUAAAUUCUUCUUCUUUUAUUUUUUUUAUCCAUCCAUCCAUCCAUCCAUCCAUCCAUCCAUCCAUCCAUCCAUCCAUCCAUCCAUCCAUCCAUCCAUCCAUUCAUCCCAGCAAAUAAUCAGCAGGAAGACUUAUUGCAGGGUUUAUUUUCUUCUUCCUGAGGCAGUUUGAUGGAAUUGUAUGAAGAACACAAAAUCUCACGACCUCACUCUGAGCCCAGGGGAAGCUGCUGCUGUGAUAGAAAGCGAGAUAACGUUGGGUGGGAACUCAGGAGGGUGAGCAGCAGCGUUCCCCAGUGCCUCCAAGCAGGGAUGGAAGUCACACAUUUGUGUUUCCUAAGCUGCUGUGCACUGUAUUCAGAGCAAAGGCUGAGACUAUGAUGCUGCUCUGAGCUUCUGCCUCUCACCAGUGUUGAUGUGGGGUCUGUCCUUGCAAAUGGGUGUUCUGCAGCUUUGGGGACGACGAGCGACAGGAGAAGGACACACUGAGUGCCUCUGUGAGCACGGCUUCAGCACCUGCCAGAAGUGUCACUUUAUUCCUCAAGACUUUAUUUGGUGUGAAAGAUGGCUCAAGAAAAAAUGUAUCCCUACUGAGUUUAUUUGGCAGAGGGACACCGCGGGGCUACAGAAGUUUAUUUACUGCUCUCAUGCUGCAUAUUUGCUCUUUGUUUAUUGAUGGGGAGAGAGAUGGGGCCACAGGAGAGGGCUUUGCCCCCUGGUCCCCCCCAGAGGGGGUCAGCCCCCCAAGAACUGCCCAUGUGCUGAGAUCUGCUCCUGCUGCUGGUGCUUCAAUAGCAUCCAUCAAACCCACGGUGCAGUGGGCUGAGUUCUGUGCAGAGCAGCAGGGAUGGCUCUGCUGUCCUGGAGGCUCUUUGGGGUCACUCUUUGCUUUCUCACCCCACAACGCAACCCUGGAGAGACCUCACAGAAAUUCACCCUGGAGAAACCACUGUUCCUACAGAAGCCCUGCUUCUGCUUCCUAAUAGACAUCGAUGUAAUUUGUUUUCUGAGCAGCAUUGGGGAAAUGUGCAUUGCUCGCCGAACCUCCCAUUUGCAUUGAAGGAAGUCAUAAUUUGAGCGAAGCGUGAAACACUCACGGCAAACUUCUUGUCUCUGUGAGCGCACUGGAGCUCAGCCUCGUGUAUAAUUGAGUUGUUAUAAUGAAGUCUGGGUUUGGUUCUUCAAGAAGGAAUUUGUUUAGAAAAGAGACUCUCAACUUAAUUUAGAUUUCACGCUGUUUCUGAGCUGUUGCUGUCAGCGCUGUAGGUCUGGUGGGCCAAUUUGUCCCUGGGGUAAUUUUGGGGAUGUUGAGCGGUGCUGGGUUGGGAUGUGGCUCUCUGAGGAGCUUUAAUAUCUGGAGUCGGUCCCUGUGCAGCAAUCACAGUGCUGCAGAUGAUCCGAGCGGAGAUGGCAUCAGCCCCGAGCAGCGCUAUGCUGGGCUCUGACCCCGCCAGCUGCCAGGACCCUGAUGAUCUCCUGCCAACACCGCACAGCAACAGCCCGGGGCUGUUCUGUCCGAUGGACAUAGGGCUGGGAAAGGGCAGAGACAUCCCAGUUGGGCUAAUUCUGAGGUUCAUGGGAGAAAUGUGGGGGUGAAAGGCUCUGUCUCAUCACCUCCAUCCUAUCACGUCAGUUCCAUUACUUCUGUCCCAUCACCACCAUCUCAACAUCUCCAUCCCAUCAUGUGCAUUCCAACGCCUUCAUUCUAUCACCUCUGUCCCAUCAUUUUCACCCUAUCACCUCCAUCCCACCACCUGCAUCCCAACAUCACUGUCUCAUCACCUCCAUCCCACCACCUCUAUCCCAACUCAUCCAUCCCAUCACCUGCAUCCUAUCACCUCCAUCCCAUCAUCUCCAUCCCAACACCUUCAUCCCACCAUCUCCAUUUCAUCACUUCUGUUCUACCACAUCAGUCCCAUCAUCUCUGUCCCAUCACCUCCAUCCCAACACCUCCAUCCCAUCGCAUCCAUCCCAUUGCCUUCAUCCCAUCACUUCCAUCCCAUCUCCUCUGUCCCAUCACCUCCAUCCUAUCACCUCCAGGCUCUUUUUCUCUGCUCCCCUUUGAGGCAGUCCCUCUCCUGACGAGCAGCUGGUGAAUACUUUAGGGGCUCCAGAACGCAUUAACAUCUCUGAGCAAAUAUAAGAGCAACAAGCAAACAAGAUCCCUUUCCUUCUUCUGUGCGUUUUGGUUUUAAAUAUUACGUUUCCAGGGAUAAACGUUGGCAACACUUGAAAUAAAACGUAUUAAUUAAUGAACGAAGCACUUAAUUUAGGUUUAAUGGGAUAAUCCUUUCCUGCAUGUAACAUAAAUAGUAAUUGAAUAUUAAGAAUGCAUUGAGUGAGAAUUAACAACUGUGGGAGAGAGAGCUGCAUUUCAUUGCGCUCUUGUUAAACGCGUGGCCCAGCCUGGGUCUCUGGUGUAGGAGAGCUGGAUUCAAAGGCUCUGAAAGUCAAUGGAGAAACUGCUCUGAAAUGGGUUUGCAAAGCAGGGUGAGAAAAUCAGGAUUAGGCUUUUGUUCUUGUGAGAUUCACUGCCUGACCCGGAGCUCAGCUGAACAGAGGGCCCUCUUCACAUCGACUUCCAGAGCAUUUGGAUCAUUCAGCAGCUGAAAUCUAGCCAUCAUCCUAAACACAGCUUUAGGAGGAAUAUAAUAAU